AAUCAUUUGACCAUAUGUGCAAGGAUUUGUUUCUGGGCUCUCUAUUCCAUUGGUCUAUAUUUCUGUCUUUAUGCUUAAUUAAGUUUUACCUCAGUUGCAGUCUUUGAAAGUCCUGUUUUAACCUAUGUAAGGACAUAUUAACUAUUUUAACUGGAGCUUUGUUGGGUCCCAUUUUAUCAGGUCAAUGUAAAAGUGCAAAGACUUAAUUUAAUUUUAAUUUUUAAUUCAUUUAUGCUGUAGAAUCUAUGCUCAAUAUUGGAUAUUUUAGAUAAAUGAGCUCUAUAACCAUGGGAAAGGUAGGGAAGUCUACAGUAAAAGUGAAACAUAUGUGUUUUUCCUCUAUUUUAUAUUUAGUUACUUUUCUAAGAUUAUAAAGGAUACAAUGUAUAUUGUUUCCUCACUGCUGUUGUAAUUCAUCUUCUGACCCAGCCGGUGUAAGAGAUCACAAUCUUAGAAACCAGAGGUGUAAUGCUUAAUGAAAAAGGAAAAGGGGAGAGAGCACUUUAUCCCUUCUCUGCUUAAGACCCCUGAUGAUGUCAUGCAAUUGAUUGAGUAUAAAGAUCUCCAGGAGAUGAAUUGCAACAGCAGCAAGGCAAGCAACAACACAAGAACACCUUUUGCUGGGUGCCAUACCUUGACCCUGAGGUGGAAUCCCUCACACUUACUGUUUGUGGUUUGGAACAAAUGAGGGUCUCCAAAGAGCACUCUUUCUACUCAAUAGGGCAGGCUGAAAUGUGUGGGAAAAUAGCAGUUGUUUGUUCCACCAAUCAGUUCUACACUGUCAAUUGAUCAUCCUCACUCAUCAGGCCUGUCCCAUGACCAUUGGAGGGAAGUCAUAGCUUACUCUGUUCACAAGAACCUUUUAUAUAUUUAGCUAGUCAACGUAAAAAUAGGUACCCCAGGACCAUCUUCUUGGGAUCUAUGAAAGUAACUCAACUCAGACCAGAACUUGGGGAGAACUCAAUUUUCAAGUUCUAAAUUUAGGGUUGGAAUCCAUGGAAACACCCAGCAAAUACAACAAAUAGCAAUUGCAGCCAUAGUGCAAGUGUAUACCAGAAGGCAAUGGUAUGUUUCAAGGCUUCUGAUGCCAUCUGGUGAAACCAAUUAGGAAGCCAAAAGAAGUCUAGUGGCAUAUCAUCCCAGUGUGAGGCCAAACCACCCAGCUUGCUACAUGAAAUGUUUUACAAUAUAGUUUUAUCACUGUGCAGGUAUAGUGAGUCCAACUGAUCAAAAGAGGAUUACCAUCGAAAAGAUAGUUUGUGAUACAGAUUCUAAGGAAAAAGGGCAUACCACACCAUGUGGGGCCAUAUGAGGAAGCACUGAGGCCAGUCAGGAGGCAGAGAUAGAGAGGGGAAACGUGAACAAAAGCCUUUACUGUGGUUUCCCAGGGAAAGAACAGGUGUAGAAGAGUGAGCAGGCUUAUGAUUGGCUAGUUUUAGCAGGCUCUAGAGCAUAAGGGUUGUUUCUCAUUUUCUGAUACCUGGUCCUGGGUUGACCAGGGUGGAUAGAUAGUAGCCCAGAGU